GCCGGGCAUGGUGGCGCGUGCCUGUAAUCCCAGCUACUCAGGAGGCUGAGGCAGGAGAAUCGCUUGAACCCAGGAGGCGGAGGUUGCAGUGAGCUGAGAUCACAUCACUGCACUCCAGCCAGGGUGACAGAGUGAGACUCUGUCUCAA
rnacentral:SRP_RNA from 1 species